CCUACGGGUGGCUGCAGUGGGGAAUAUUGGACAAUGGGCGAAAGCCUGAUCCAGCCAUGCCGCGUGUGUGAAGAAGGCCUUCGGGUUGUAAAGCACUUUCAGUGGGGAAGAAAGCCUUGGGGCUAAUACCCUCGAGGAAGGACAUCACCCACAGAAGAAGCACCGGCUAACUCCGUGCCAGCAGCCGCGGUAAUACGGAGGGUGCGAGCGUUAAUCGGAAUUACUGGGCGUAAAGCGCGCGUAGGCGGUCUGAUAAGCCGGUUGUGAAAGCCCCGGGCUCAACCUGGGAACGGCAUCUGGAACUGUCAGGCUAGAGUGCAGGAGAGGAAGGUAGAAUUCCCGGUGUAGCGGUGAAAUGCGUAGAGAUCGGGAGGAAUACCAGUGGCGAAGGCGGCCUUCUGGGCUGACACUGACGCUGAGGUGCGAAAGCGUGGGUAGCAAACAGGAUUAGAUACCCCAGUAGUC
rnacentral:rRNA from 1 species